rnacentral:rRNA from 1 species
GGAAUUUUGGACAAUGGGGGCAACCCUGAUCCAGCCAUCCCGCGUGUGCGAUGAAGGCCUUCGGGUUGUAAAGCACUUUUGGCAGGGAAGAAAAGGCUCUGACUAAUACCCGGAGCUGCUGACGGUACCUGCAGAAUAAGCACCGGCUAACUACGUGCCAGCAGCCGCGGUAAUACGUAGGGUGCAAGCGUUAAUCGGAAUUACUGGGCGUAAAGCGUGCGCAGGCGGUUUGGCAAGAAGGAUGUGAAAUCCCGGGGCUUAACCUCGGAACUGCAUUCUUAACUGCCAGGCUAGAGUAUGUCAGAGGGGGGUAGAAUUCCGCGUGUAGCAGUGAAAUGCGUAGAGAUGCGGAGGAAUACCGAUGGCGAAGGCAGCCCCCUGGGAUAAUACUGACGCUCAGGCACGAAAGCGUGGGGAGCAA